AAAUGAUAUAAUUGUUAUAAGGACGAUAAUUAUAUCAAGUGUAGGUCGUUGUGUGCCAUAUUAGUUGGUUGUCCUCUUAACCAAGGCGUGUGGUGAUAUGGGUAUGACACAUGGGUGAUAUAUCGAAGUAUAUUUCACUGAGCGUGACCACUUUCAGAGCACUCUACUGUCAAAGAUUACUCUGAUGGGAUAUAGGUAUAUGUAUUCCUCUGAUCU
rnacentral:lncRNA from 1 species